rnacentral:rRNA from 1 species
AGUGAACGCUGGCGGUAGGCCUAACUCAUGCAAGUCGAACGGCAGCACAGUAAGAGCUUGCUCUUACGGGUGGCGAGUGGCGGACGGGUGAGGAAUACAUCGGAAUCUACUUUUUCGUGGGGGAUAACGUAGGGAAACUUACGCUAAUACCGCAUACGACCUACGGGUGAAAGCAGGGGAUCUUCGGACCUUGCGCGAUUGAAUGAGCCGAUGUCGGAUUAGCUAGUUGGCGGGGUAAAGGCCCACCAAGGCGACGAUCCGUAGCUGGUCUGAGAGGAUGAUCAGCCUCACUGGAACUGAGACACGGUCCAGACUCCUACGGGAGGCAGCAGUGGGGAAUAUUGGACAAUGGGCGCAAGCCUGAUCCAGCCAUACCGCGUGGGUGAAGAAGGCCUUCGGGUUGUAAAGCCCUUUUGUUGGGAAAGAAAAGCAGCAGGUUAAUACCCCGCUGUUCUGACGGUACCCAAAGAAUAAGCACCGGCUAACUUCGUG